CACACCGCUACUGGACGCUAUGGACGGAGUGUAGCACAGUGGGUAAGGAACUGGGCUUGUAACCGAAAGGUCGCAGGUUCGAUUCCCGGCACACAAUCAGAAAUGCAGCCUGGAUUCCAUCAAUCCACAAUGUGCUUUGCCUUUCUUUUUGAAGCACAAACUGAUCACCACUACAUACCCGUGGACCGCCCUAGGGCGGGGCUGCUCUGCUUCUGUGCAGAAUAUCUAAUGUGUACGCUGAUUUCUGGGUUGCGCUGGGCCCCGUCCCUCGUGGCUCAGACUAUCAUUUGAAGAGUAAUUCCCCAGCGUGCCUUCCUGUAAUCGAGGAGACACGCUAAAACAGCCCUGCUAAAAGAGAAUCUUUUCAUAUAAAUAUUUAAAAGAGUUUUUUUAAAAAAAUAAAUAAAUAAAUAAAAAA